GAGAUUUCCCUCUACAUUUUAUGUAAAUUUUAGCUGUUUUCGAUUCACCAAACCUCGUAAAGUACCGAAACCAACAAACAAUCGGCAUAAUCAAAUAAGGAUUGGAUAUCAAGCAAAUAGCAAGUAGAGAAGUGGACAAUCGAAAACGGUAUUGACAGGUAGUUUACGAUAAGAUCGAUCGACCAGGUAGUAUUUUAACGAUUUUUUUCAGUGUAGCAAUGCUGGCAAACAAUCAAGCUGCCAACCAGUUGGAAUAAAGCUAAGAGACUGAUACAUACAUAUGUGUGUAUAUGCUCAUACUCACACAGUUUAUGUUAAGGUAUUCGUAUCUGUGAGUGGGUCGGUCGGUGUCAAUAGGCAUGUGAGAACACACGUAUACAAAUGUAAAUAUAAUAUGAAGAUUGUAUGUAGACAUUUGUUGUAUCUGUGCUAGCAGUUAGCAGCUAGAUGCCAAUAUCGUAGCAGACUACUACGCCACAAUGAAUCAGUCUUGUGAAUAUUCGCGAACUAUGCGGUCGCCAUAUGAUGAUUUUUCAAUCGUGUCGGAUAGCGGUGAAGAAGGUAGAGGGAAUAGCUACAACUAUGGAAACAAAAAUUAUAGUUGUACCAUACCAUAUCACGCGCGUGAAAAUUCGUUGCCAUUUAGUUACGGACAAAUAACUAAGACGCCGACCUCAUUGCGUAGUGUUGGUGCAACUAAUGGAAUCAGCGGACUCCAUCGCUCUCAACAUGGUGUUGAUGCUGUAUCCAGUGAUGUUAUCGAUUUUGGACUCGGUUCAAGCUCAGCGCCAUCCAAGGCGGAUGUAAAUUACAAUAUGGACGCGGAUCUUUAUUGCGGUGCCAAUUACAACAACGGUUUAAUGGCCACAUUAAGAUCGACAACAACAUCAAGUGCAAAAAAGUCACCACAGGGAAGUAGCACAGACGCAAUAAGUACGAUCAAAGCGCAACCACGACUUACGAGUCCCAUAUUGGUACGUAAAACGCUCAAUAGCCGAUCGCCUACGCGCAAUGGAGCUACCAAUACAAACACUAUCGCCAACACAUACCAUUACAAAUAUGGAAACGACGAUGACAAUAUUUUUGGCGCUCCCGUCUGCAUCAGCAGUGGAAGCCACAGCAACACUUUAAAAGGCAAAUUCAACGGCGACAAUAAUGGUUACAGUAAUGAUUUGAAACACAAUAACGACAACAGUAACAAAAAUCAUAUGUUCAACAACAACAAAAACGACAGCAAAAAAUUUGGUAUUGCCGACAAUGUCGAUGGAAGCUUGAACGUGCGGAAAAUCCAUCCACGUGAUGAUUUUGAGGAAUUAUUGCGCGAACGUCGGGAAAAGGUUUUCCAUGAACAUUACCGAUCGGUCGGAUCAACGCAAGCUGCCGAUAGCAUCAAUGGAAGUAGAUUUGAAGCUUCGCCUAACUCUCAGAAAUUCAACUAUGAUUUCGAAUUUCACUUAAAUGUUGACGAUGCACCGCCUCCACCACGUCGUGCCCACACCAUUGAUCGAUCGUCGCUACAACAGCUACAGCAAUAUCGUACUCGCGACAUUCCAGUUGCACGCGAGGUCGUUACGCCAACCGUCAAUUCGUCGAUUGUGGAACGUAAUUACCACACAAUUAGCUCCUCUAUUGUUGAUAGAAAAGCAGGCGAAACAUGCGCUCCUACUCAGCAAAAUUCACGACUUCGUCAACAAAUUCAACCACAGCAACCACAACAUCAACAACGACGUGAAAUUGAAACGCUUUAUAGUACAGUGGAGAAACGUGCAUCAAAACCGUCCCAAAGACAACAAUCGCUAUCACCUUCUCCAAUACAAGCACAACAAUCGCUUCGACCAACAGAGUACUCCCCAUAUGGAAAUGGAAAUGUGAGUACGGCUAGUUAUGGAUUUGACAAUCAUAACGAGUAUGCUACAAAUAAUCGGAGCUCAUUGGGAGCCGCCGUUGUUGCUCGCAGCCGCAAUGACGUGUCAUCACCAAUUUAUGCCACUACCUCUAAGCAUAUCACCACAGCUACGAAAACAUAUCACAACCACAAUGUAUCCGAACCAGAAUUGUCAUUAACAGAUCACUCAUUGGCGACUUCAUUGUCGCUGCCAAUUGGCUCUGCUUCGACUGGUACUGUGAAUGAAUUCGAAGCUGGUAAAAUUUCGCCAUCACUCGUCGCACGCCCCGAAACACCAGCAUUUCCAGUUACUCCACGUACACCACAUGGUGCAUACAAUGGACAAAACAGUCCUAUGGGCUAUUCAGCUAGUCCCAUGUUGCAGCAUACGGAUCUAACGAAAGGAAAAUCAAUGCUCGACUUGCACAACUACUCUUCGGAGACCAUUUACCGUACAAGUUGCCGUCCACGUCUCGAGUCCAACAUGUCAAUAGUUAAUAGUGAACCGCAAGAGGUUGCUGCACAUCUGGUCAAAUUUGCCAACGAUUCGUCGAAAUACUGGUACAAGCCGAAUUUAUCGCGUGAAGAAGUUGUUCAAUUGUUACUACAUGCUCAACCAGGUACAUUUAUAGUUCGUAAUUCCACAACGUACAAGGAUAACUAUGGUUUAGUUGUACGUGUAUACCAACCACCCCCAAAUAGUGAACUCACAGGCCAACCCGACGAUUUAGUGCGCCAUUUCCUUAUUGAGCCUACAAAACACGGUGUACGUUUGAAGAGUUGUGCCAAUGAACCAGUUUUCACAUCACUGUCAGCUCUUAUCUAUGAACAUUCAAUCAACAAAUUAGCCUUGCCAUGUUUGUUACGCAUACCCGAACACGAUUUGGUACCAUCGUUAAUCGAACCGACUAGUGCUCAAAAGCAAUUGCUAACCCAGGGCGCCGCCUGUAAUGUACUGUGGCUGUACUCAUGCGACACCGAAUCCUUAACUGGUAAAGAGGCUAUCCGUAAAGCCAUACGACAAUUGUACUCCCAUGAUCAGCUGCAUAUACCAACAGAAGUACAUUUUAAAGUUACGCAACAGGGAAUUACCCUCACUGACAAUACCAGAAAAAAAUUCUUCCGAAAACACUAUCCCGGCGAUAACAUUUCAUUUUGUGCCAUAGAUCCAGAUCAUCGUCUCUGGGAAAUCCAAUUGACGGAAGAAGAAGGCAGUAACAAAAAUAGUACCUCGGUCGCAGCGCUAAAGAAGACAAUAUUUGCGUUUGUGGCUCGUAGUUCGCCAAAAUCGAAAGACAAUCAAUGUCAUGUUUUUUGUGAUUUAGACAUUCAUCAGCCAGCCUCAGCUAUCGUUUCGUUCGUCAAUAAAACAUUACCAACAGAGAAAGAACGUAACUUUGUGCUCUGAAAUCGGAUGGAUACGGAGCCGAGAAAAACUUGGAAAACGGAUAAAGUAAGAAAAAAUUUAUCCAAGUAUCUAUACUCCGAUCAAGACUCCAAAUGGCAAAAUAAAUAGAGAGGGAAAUCAGAUAUUCACAUAUUAUACACAUGUACGUUCGUUAAAAAUUGUACCUGUAAUAUAGCUGAAAUGACGGGGCCAUAAUAUCUAUAUAUCUAUAUAACUAUAUACGCGGCAUUAGCAGUCGGACGUCUACAAAAAAAAUUUAAUCAGCUCCAAAUCAACUAAAAUUAUGUCCGAAUUCAGUUCAUAUCUAUGUAUAUUGAAUAUUUCAAUACAUAUGUAUGUGGAUGUGUAUAUGAAAGGGCAUACAUAUAGGCGUGUGUAUGCAGGUUUGUAUGUAUACUCAUAUUUAUUUUAUUGUUUAUAACAUUUUUGUACAUAGCUUUCAUUCUAAUUUUAUUUGCCAUUGUGCCUUAACUUUAAUAUUAAUCAAAUCAAAUAAAUCCAAUACUUAAAAUAGUAACAAAAUUAUAAACAUAUUCAUUGAAGGGUAUUUAUUUAUCUACAUAACUACUUGUACAUACAAGUAUAUAUGUAUGUAUGUGCCUGUUCUUUAACUAAAAUACACAAAAAAGUAUAUGAAUUUGCUGUUUAAGUUCCAAGAUGAUGUUCCAGUCUUCGAUUAAAUCCGAUGUGUCGGGUCAUACUGACUUCGCUGCAUUCACCGCAUUUAUUGCCAGAGUCAUAUAAAAUGGUUAAUAGUUUUAUAUUUUUGUGUAAAAUACGUUAUGUAAAAGAUUAAUUUAUUGGCUCACUCACUCAUAAUCUGCCAUUUCUACUUAUUUAUAUUAUUAUGCAAAUAUGUGUGUAUGUAGGGUAAACUCACUUACGCUUUUAAGUUAAUUUGACCCGGCUCAUGGGCGAAAAACGUUAAACCAGAACUGAGACGAGAACAAUAUUUGUUCUUGACCUUGAGGUCAUAAGCUUUUUGUUUUUUUGUAAUUUUUGCCAUUUUUAUAUUAUUGUUACAUUAGAUAGCUGUACAACCCUGAAUGAAAAUUCCUGAUGGUAAUUGACGCAUGACGUCAUCUGUCUGGCCUGAACGAAACGCAAACAGUGAAAGUGUUUAAAGUAAAAAUACAAUACUAAAAUAAAGUAUAAGUAUAAUUAAAGUGUAUAAACGCAAAAGCUUCAAAAAUGUUUUAAAUAAUUUAAAAAAUUGUACCUU